rnacentral:rRNA from 1 species
UCAUGAAGUAAAUAAGGCCGGUUACUACAAAUAUAAAUUUAAAANCUAAAGAACUUGGCGGUGUCUUAUCAUACCAGGGGAACCUGUUCCUUAAUUCGAUAAUCCACGAAACCACUACCACUAAUUGAAAACCAGCUUGUAUACUGCCGUCAUCAGCAUACCUUAAAAAGAUAUAGUAUGCAAUAAUAAUCAAUAUUAAAUAUGUCAGGUCAUAGUACAGUUAAUUUAGCGGGGGAAAUGGGUUACAAUCAUUACAUAGAUGCCAAAACAAUAACUAAAGUUAUGAAGAAAGAUGGACUUGGCAGUAAUAAAAUAUAGAAUAUUUUUAUGAAUAAUGAUCUAAGACAUGCACAUAUCGCCCGUCACUCCCAUCUAAAGAUG